rnacentral:rRNA from 1 species
UGGUGGAGUGAUUUGUCUGGUUAAUUCCGAUAACGAGCGAGACCUCAGCCUACUAAUUAGAUAGACAAAUCUUCGGAUUUGCUUUAGCUUCUUAGAGGGACUAUCGGUGUUUAGCCGAUGGAGGUUUGAGGCAAUAACA